AGCUCCAAUAGCGUAUAUUAAAGUUGUUGCAGUUAAAAAGCUCGUAGUUGGAUCUCGGGUCCAGGCUUGCGGUCCACUCCUUGGUGGCUACUGCUCGUCCUGACCUACCUACCGGUUGGCCCUUGGUGCUCUUGGUUGAGUGCUUCGGGUGACCGGAACGUUUACUUUGAAAAAAUUAGAGUGUUCAAAGCAGGCUUUGCGCCUGAAUAAUGGUGCAUGGAAUAAUGGAAUAGGACCUCGGUUCUAUUUUGUUGGUUUUCUGAACUUGAGGUAAUGAUUAAGAGGGACUGACGGGGGCAUUCGUAUUACGGUGUUAGAGGUGAAAUUCUUGGAUCGCCGUAAGACGAACAACAGCGAAAGCAUUUGCCAAGCAUGUUUUCAUUAAUCAAGAACGAAAGUA
rnacentral:rRNA from 1 species